rnacentral:rRNA from 1 species
AAUGAACGCUGGCGGCAGGCCUAACACAUGCAAGUCGAACGAGAGCUUCGGGUGUGCUGGCGCAUGCGUGUGUAGAGUGUGGGAACCUGCCGUUAGGUUUGGAAUAACUCUUUGAAAGGGGUGCUAAUACCGGGUAAUUUAUGCGAACCAAAGAUAUAUCGACUUUGGUUGGGCCGGAGUUGGAUUGGCUAGUUGGUAGGGUAAAAGCCUCUCAGGGCGUCGAUAGAUAGCUGGUUAGAGAGGCACCUCAGCCACACUGGGACUGGGACACGGACCGGAGUACUACGGGAGGCAGCAGAGGGUAAUAUAGCACCAUGGCGGGAAGGCUGAUCCAGUAAUGGCGUGUGAGUGCUGAUGGCGUUAGGGUUAUAAAGCGCUUUUAACCGCCAUGAUAAUGACAGUACCGAAAGAAUAAGCUCCGGCUAACUCCGUG